UGAAAUCCAGGGUGUCUACAUCCCACAGGAUUAUGGAGGGUGUAUGCAUUGUGCACUUGUCACUUAGAGACGCCUAUGGUCUGAGAAUGUUAAUUUUCCUUCGUGUCGUCGUGGUAGAGACCCAGAGAUGGCAUUUCAAGUUCCAGGAGUUAUGCAUGAACUGGCUUUCUGGAAUUAAAGCUGUCUGACUGGGACGUGUCUGAUGCAUCUAGAGAAGCUCAUGGCUCUG
rnacentral:lncRNA from 1 species